rnacentral:rRNA from 1 species
ACGCUCGACACCUACGUGAGGCAGCAGUUGGGAAUAUUGGACAAUGGAGGAAACUCUGAUCCAGUGACGCCGCGUGAAGGAAGAAGGUCUUCGGAUUGUAAACUUAUUUUGUCAGGGAAGAAAAAAUGACUGUACCUGAAGAAAAAGCACCGGCUAACUACGUGCCAACAGCCGCGGUAAUCUGAGCGGGCUGGCAAGGC